CAGAUUGAACGCUGGCGGCAGGCUUAACACAUGCAAGUCGAGCGGAAACGAUGAUAGCUUGCUAUCAGGCGUCGAGCGGCGGACGGGUGAGUAAUACUUAGGAAUCUACCUAGUAGUGGGGGAUAGCACGGGGAAACUCGUAUUAAUACCGCAUACGACCUACGGGAGAAAGGGGGCAGUUUACUGCUCUCGCUAUUAGAUGAGCCUAAGUCGGAUUAGCUAGAUGGUGGGGUAAAGGCCUACCAUGGCGACGAUCUGUAGCUGGUCUGAGAGGAUGAUCAGCCACACCGGGACUGAGACACGGCCCGGACUCCUACGGGAGGCAGCAGUGGGGAAUAUUGGACAAUGGGGGAAACCCUGAUCCAGCCAUGCCGCGUGUGUGAAGAAGGCCUUUUGGUUGUAAAGCACUUUAAGCAGUGAAGAAGACUCCGUGGUUAAUACCCACGGACGAUGACAUUAGCUGCAGAAUAAGCACCGGCUAACUCUGUGCCAGCAGCCGCGGUAAUACAGAGGGUGCAAGCGUUAAUCGGAAUUACUGGGCGUAAAGGGAGCGUAGGUGGCUCUAUAAGUCAGAUGUGAAAUCCCCGGGCUCAACCUGGGAACUGCAUCUGAAACUGUAGAGCUAGAGUAUGUGAGAGGAAGGUAGAAUUCCAGGUGUAGCGGUGAAAUGCGUAGAGAUCUGGAGGAAUACCGAUGGCGAAGGCAGCCUUCUGGCAUAAUACUGACACUGAGGCUCGAAAGCGUGGGUAGCAAACAGGAUUAGAUACCCUGGUAGUCCACGCCGUAAACGAUGUCUACUAGUCGUUGGGUCCCUUGAGGACUUAGUGACGCAGCUAACGCAAUAAGUAGACCGCCU
rnacentral:rRNA from 1 species